AAAUCUUGAAUUGGGAGAUGAACAUAUGCCUAUGUAUGAGUAGUUUACUUGCUAUUUUGACCAGAAAAUUAUUGCCUCCAUAUCCAGAAAAGAACAUAUAUUGCAACAGGUGAAAAUAACCCAAAAGAAAGAAUCAAAAUGUGGAAGUGAAUUUUUUCCUUUUCUUCUUCAAAUCUCCCAUACUUGUUCUUUCAAGAUCACAAUACCUUUUGAUGGUUGAACUUUCUUUCUUUCCCUUCUUGAUA
rnacentral:misc_RNA from 1 species